ACGAACGCUGGCGGCGUGCUUCACACAUGCAAGUCGAACGGAAAGGCCCUGCUUUUGUGGGGUGCUCGAGUGGCGAACGGGUGAGUAACACGUGAGUAACCUGCCCUUGACUUUGGGAUAACUUCAGGAAACUGGGGCUAAUACCGGAUAGGAGCUCCUGCUGCAUGGUGGGGGUUGGAAAGUUUCGGCGGUUGGGGAUGGACUCGCGGCUUAUCAGCUUGUUGGUGGGGUAGUGGCUUACCAAGGCUUUGACGGGUAGCCGGCCUGAGAGGGUGACCGGCCACAUUGGGACUGAGAUACGGCCCAGACUCCUACGGGAGGCAGCAGUGGGGAAUAUUGCACAAUGGGCGGAAGCCUGAUGCAGCAACGCCGCGUGCGGGAUGACGGCCUUCGGGUUGUAAACCGCUUUCGCCUGUGACGAAGCGUGAAUGACGGUAAUGGGUAAAGAAGCACCGGCUAACUACGUG
rnacentral:rRNA from 1 species